UAAAAUGUUUUCUAGGGUUCCGCAAGCAUGUUAUUGGUCUGGUCCGAGAGAAAACUCACGCAAGACGUGUCACGGAAGGAUAAAAGCCUGGGAGAU
rnacentral:sRNA from 1 species